AAAUAUUUAAAAUCCUAAACAUUCCAAGCAAGCAGUUAACUUAACGUGAAGGCUUUAGGAUAUGGGUUUGUAUUUUGUUUAUCUACAAUGGAAGGCUUUAGUUUGUAAUGAAUUAACUCAAAUGAUAGAUUGAUUGUUUCGGGUUAAUAGUAGUUUGUAGAAAUCUCAUUUUUAUCUAUUUGAAUGAUGUAUUAAUCCACCCAGACUUGUCAGAUUAUAUUGAAUGACAGUUGUUCUUUUUU
rnacentral:lncRNA from 1 species